rnacentral:rRNA from 1 species
UCGAAAGACUAAGGUUUCCUGAUCAACGUUAAUCGGAUCAGGGUUAGUCGGGACCUAAGGAAAAGCCGAAAGGUGUAUUCGAUGGACAACAAGUUAAUAUUCUUGUACCUUGUUUAUGAAGCGAUGGAGAGACGGAGUAGUGAAAGAUCUGCGCACUGACGGAAUAGUGCGUUAAAGCCUGUAGGUAUAGGACUGGUAGUUAAAUGCGCCGGUUUUGCUGAAGGGUGACAGUACUGAGAGGCUUCGGCCAAUCAGAUAUGAUCCUAAUCAGACUUCCAAGAAAAUCUUCUAAGCGUUUAUCAUAAGCGAGCCCGUACCGCAAUCCGACACAGGUAGUCAAGAAGAGAAUUCUAAGGUGCUUGAGUGAAUCACGGCUAAGGAACUCGGCAAAUUAAUCCUGUAACUUCGGGAAAAGGGAUGCCUCCUCUAGCAAUAGAGAGGUCGCAGAGAAAUGGCCCAGGCGACUGUUUAACAAAAACACAUGGCUAUGCGAAAUCGAAAGAUGAAGUAUAUGGCCUGACACCUGCCCGGUGCUGGAAGGUUAAGGGGGGAUGUUAGCCGCAAGGCGAAGCAUUGAACUGAAGCCCCAGUAAACGGCCGCCGUAACAAUAACGGUCCUAAGGUAGCGAAAUUCCUUGUCGGGUAAGUUCCGACCUGCACGAAUGGUGUAACGAUCUGGGCGCUGUCUCAGCCGUGAGCUCAGUGAAAUUGUAGUAGCGGUGAAGAUGCCGCUUACCCGCAACGGGACGGAAAGACCCCAUGAACCUUUACUAUAGCUUUACAUUGACUUUGGGUAAGGGAUGUGUAGGAUAGAUGGGAGACUAUGAAGUGGUGGCGCCAGCCAUCGUGGAGUCAACGUUGAAAUACCAUCCUUUCCUUAUCUGGAGUCUAAUCCCUGCAAAGGGAGACAUUGUAUGGUGGGUAGUUUGACUGGGGUGGUCGCCUCCAAAAGAGUAACGGAGGCUUUCAAAGGUACCCUCAGUACGCUUGGUAACCGUACGUAGAGUGCAAUAGCAUAAGGGUGCUUGACAGUGAGACUUACAAGUCGAGCUGGUAGGAGACUAGGAUAUAGUGAUCCGGUGGUUCCGCAUGGAAGGGCCAUCGCUCAAAGGAUAAAAGGUACUCUGGGAUAACAGGCUGAUCUCCCCCAAGAGCUCACAUCGACGGGGAGGUUUGGCACCUCGAUGUCGGCUCGUCACAUCCUGGGGCUGGAGAAGGUCCCAAGGGUUCGGCUGUUCGCCGAUUAAAGUGGCACGCGAGCUGGGUUCAGAACGUCGUGAGACAGUUCGGUCCCUAUCUGUUGUGGGCGUUAGGAAGCUUGCGAGGACCUGACCUUAGUACGAGAGGACCGGGUUGGACGAACCUCUGGUAUAUCUGUUGUGUCGCCAGAUGCAUUGCAGAGUAGCCACGUUCGGUCGAGAUAAGCGCUGAAAGCAUCUAAGCGCGAAACUCACCUCAAGAUGAGGCUUCCAUAUAAGGGCCGUCUGAGACUAUGACGUUGAUAGGCUAUAGGUGUAAAGACAGUAAUGUCAAAGCUGAGUAGUACUAAUUACUC